rnacentral:rRNA from 1 species
AUUGUAGUCUGCAACUCGACUACAUGAAGUUGGAAUCGCUAGUAAUCGCGAAUCAGCAUGUCGCGGUGAAUACGUUCCCGGGUCUUGUACACACCGCCCGUCACACCAUGGGAGUCAGUAACGCCCGAAGUCAGUGACCCAACCAAACGGAGGGAGCUGCCGAAGGCGGGACCGAUAACUGGGGUGAAGUCGUAACAAGGUAGC